rnacentral:rRNA from 1 species
UACGAAGGGGGCUAGCGUUGUUCGGAAUUACUGGGUGUAAAGCGCGUGUAGGCGGGAGGCCAAGUCUGCUGUGAAAUCGCUCGGCUCAACUGGGCGGGGUCGGUGGAAACUGGUCACCUGGAGGACGGUAGAGGCGAGUGGAAUUCCCGGUGUAGUGGUGAAAUGCGUAGAGAUCGGGAGGAACACCAGUGGCGAAGGCGGCUCGCUGGGCCGGUCCUGACGCUGAGGCACGAAAGCGUGGGGAGCAAACAGG